rnacentral:rRNA from 1 species
GACGAACGCUGGCGGCGUGCUUAACACAUGCAAGUCGAACGGAAAGGCCCUGCUUUUGUGGGGUGCUCGAGUGGCGAACGGGUGAGUAACACGUGAGUAACCUGCCCUUGACUUUGGGAUAACUUCAGGAAACUGGGGCUAAUACCGGAUAGGAUCUCCUGCUGCAUGGUGGGGGUUGGAAAUUUUCGGCGGUUGGGGAUGGACUCGCGGCUUAUCAGCUUGUUGGUGGGGUAGUGGCUUACCAAGGCUUUGACGGGUAGCCGGCCUGAGAGGGUGACCGGCCACAUUGGGACUGAGAUACGGCCCAGACUCCUACGGGAGGCAGCAGUGGGGAAUAUUGCACAAUGGGCGGAAGCCUGAUGCAGCAACGCCGCGUGCGGGAUGACGGCCUUCGGGUUGUAAACCGCUUUCGCCUGUGACGAAGCGUGAGUGACGGUAAUGGGUAAAGAAGCACCGGCUAACUACGUG